GGUACAGCCCCGCGGUGCUGUCGGACCCCCGACCUGACAGCACCGCGGGGCUUUCUC
rfam:Pseudonocardia sp. CNS-004 NODE_38_length_85122_cov_92.6081_ID_279, whole genome shotgun sequence.